rnacentral:rRNA from 1 species
GUAGUCCACGCCCUAAACGAUGUCGACUAGUUGUUGGGGGAGUCUGUCCCUCAGUAACGUAGCUAACGCGUGAAGUCGACCGCCUGGGGAGUACGGUCGCAAGAUUAAAACUCAAAGGAAUUGACGGGGACCCGCACAAGCGGUGGAUUAUGUGGAUUAAUUCGAUGCAACGCGAAGAACCUUACCUACCCUUGACAUGCCAGGAACCCUGCAGAGAUGCAGGGGUGCCCGAAAGGGAACCUGGACACAGGUGCUGCAUGGCUGUCGUCAGCUCGUGUCGUGAGAUGUUGGGUUAAGUCCCGCAACGAGCGCAACCCUUACCAUUAGUUGCUACAUUCAGUUGGGCACUCUAAUGGGACUGCCGGUGACAAACCGGAGGAAGGUGGGGAUGACGUCAAGUCCUCAUGGCCCUUAUGGGUAGGGCUUCACACGUAAUACAAUGGCGCAUACAGAGGGCUGCAAACCCGCGAGGGGGAGCCAAUCCCAAAAAGUGCGUCGUAGUCCGGAUUGUUCUCUGCAACUCGAGAGCAUGAAGUCGGAAUCGCUAGUAAUCGCGGAUCAGCAUGUCGCGGUGAAUA